AUUUAAGUAGUUUAAGUUAGAAUAUUAAUUUGUGAUGUUAAAGGUAAAUUUUAUUUCUUAAAUC
rnacentral:tRNA from 1 species